rnacentral:rRNA from 1 species
CAAUAGCGUAUAUUAAAGUUGUUGCGGUUAAAAAGCUCGUAGUUGGAUCUCGGCAGGCAGGGGGUGGUUCGCUCUUAGCGCUACUGCCCCAUUUGCCUGUGUGAUUGGCGGAGGUUUCGGGGUGCUCUUCGUUGAGUGACCCGGGGCGCCGUCAGGUUUACUUUGAAAAAAUUAGAGUGCUCAAAGCAGGCUUUUCACGCUUGAAUAUUCGUGCAUGGAAUAAUGGAAUAGGAACUCGUUUCUAUUUUGUUGGUUUUCGGAAAUCGAGUUAAUGAUUAAUAGGGACAAUUGGGGGCAUUAGUAUUCAGACGACAGAGGUGAAAUUCUUGGACCGUCUGAAGACUAACUACUGCGAAAGCAUUUGCCAAGAGUGUUUUCAUUAAC